rnacentral:lncRNA from 1 species
UGCAUGGAAAGCUGGAUGUCCAUAUAUGGAAAGCUGAAAUUACCUCAGUAUCCCUUAUCUUGUUCUAAAUCAAAUCAAAGUAGAUCAAAGACCUAUUUUUCAUUGCUGUUUCUAAGGAGCACACAGAUUGUUCCACUAUGCCGAGAAAGGGGCCGUAAGGUCUUCUUAUCAGAGGGGGAGCUCAGCAUAUGGACCCGGCAGGUGACCUCACUUCCUUGGAGACAGGUCCAAACAGAACGUGGAACCCUAGAGUCACUGGACAGCACAGCCUAGCGACGGUGAUCUUCCCAAUCACUUGGCUGGAGACAGUCAGCGGAGAAGAUGCUCUGCUGUUUUGCUAAGAGUCCAGGCCGCAGCCGCAGGACCCCACACAGGGAAAGCACUUGGCAACGAGUGCGAGGGUGGAUCGCUCGGCCCAGGGGCUUCAGGCCACAGGGCAGGAACCGCCCAACUGCCAUGGGCAGCGCAGGGCAGGUCACCCCAGACCCAGCCCCCAGGUGCUCUGAGAUGAGAGGGAGCCCAGAGCAGGUCUCCCUGGGCCUGGCCGCCAGACACCUGGAGCCACUGAGUCCAGAACCAGACAGUUUAGGCCCGGCCACCACUAUUGGAAAUCAGGCAGCUGAGGGCCCGGCAGAGGUCUGCACAGUGAGGACAUCGCAGGGAGGCACGGCUCACACGCUGUUGGAGCCCAAGGAGACGUCCUUUCUGCACAGCUGCCCCAUCUACGAUUGCUCCUUCCUGGAGACCCCAAGGGAUGACAUUUCCAC